CCUAACUGAGGCCCAAAAAGCACGUCUUCCUCUGUUCAGGUCUCAGUACAUGAUUUCACCACAGGCCAAAUCAAAAGUCCUGUCAUAAAUCACUCAACUGUAGAACCCUAGUCCAAAAUAGAGGAGAGUAACAGCCAUAAGAAAGCAUAAUGUUAUUAGAGCAAUGUGUGAGUAAAGAGACUAAUUAUUAUUUUGUUUGUUUUCCAGCUAUAUUCGUUGCUUUAAUGCAAGUACCUGUUUCAUGAGAUGACCUUGCUUCACUAAUAUCUGUGGUCUGUAUCAAGCUACAGUAUCACUGCUGUUGAUAUGAAGAUAACAGUCUGGAGCAGGGAAGUGGUGAAAUACUACCACCAAAAGUGCGAGCAAUGAGCAGUUUCAACCUGAUUGUCUUGCAUACCCCGUGGUGUGCAUGCACUCACCCACUUCAGAGACCACUGCUCAAGAGGAGAUUUGAAAAUAUAGUCAGAGUAGACAAGUCAUAUUUACCACUGUUUGGAUGCACUACCUAUGUGAGUAUUGGAGAAUACCAUAUCACUUUUGAAACUUCCAGGAUGCUUCAGAAAGUUACUGCUUUCAGUGGGAGGUUGCAGCUUCUGAUAACUUCUGCUGCACUGUAUUAUACAGGAAUAAUAUAUAUUCCUUAUUUUGUGGAAGGCCAAAGUGCUGUAUUAGUUCAGUCCAUGUACUGUGGUAUAAAGUAAGCAUGCAUACAUAAUAUAUUGUUGCUGUUCGUCACUGAGGGUGAGGAUCUCUGUAGUUUAGCAAAGAUAUGAAAAAGGCAAAGCAAUACACACUUCUUCAAUUCUUUGCUGUUAUUUGUUGUUUGAUGUCCUUUUACUCCGUAGGUAGUCCAGCUGAAUCUGCUCAGAUAGUUGUUUCUUUGAGGGCAGGAUUGCUUAAAACCAGAAUGUUAGAACACUGUAAUGCUAAAUCUGUCAUCUGUAUUUAUUACCGUGAUUUUGUAUGGUCUCUUACCAGUGACCAGGUUAUGGUGGAUUUUCUUAAGAUAGAUAAGAAGUGUUAUCAUUCUACCAAGUAUGCAACAAAUGUUUCAUUUGCCAUUUAGGACUGACAAACCCAAGCAAUUACUAGGUUUCAUUUUCUUAAAAGGUAAUUGGGAGAGACUGAAACUACUGCGGGGAAAGUAACAAAAGUCUUAAUAGCUGUCUUUGGUUAAGAGCUUUUUGUCUUCCCUUUGGAAUAAGGAGCAAGGAAGGGGAAAAAAAGAAUCAUGAAAGAAAGGGAAGAGCUUUCAUCCUGAGUAUGAGAAAUGGACUCCGGAAACUCCCAAGGCUAAGUAACACUGAAAUGGAGGUCUGAGCUAUCAACCUAAAAAUUGUCAGAAAUCAAAAACAAAAACAAAACAAAACAAAACAAAACACUUGCUGUCCACUUGCUAAAACACAACUGUUCUAGUCAUUUCUUAUUUCAGAACUGUCUCCAAAUUCGUACUUAAGAAAAAAAGCAUUUACUUCACUAGCUUGAAACUUGCGCUCUUUGUAAGACAGGCUAGUGUUUAAAGUUCAUUAACAUGAUUAUGACAGAUCAGUAUUUAGUAAAGGCAUCUGAAACAAAUAGGGUAGUAUGAGAUCACACUAGUGUGUGAUCUCAACCAAUGUGCAAAAAUGCUUUGCAGUACAGGGUUUUCAAAC
ensembl:lncRNA